UAGCCUAAUGAGGAAUGGCUACAG
rnacentral:piRNA from 1 species